rnacentral:rRNA from 1 species
UAGGGAAUCUUCCACAAUGGACGCAAGUCUGAUGGAGCAACGCCGCGUGAGUGAAGAAGGUUUUCGGACCGUAAAGCUCUGUUGUUGGUGAAGAAGGAUAGAGGUAGUAACUGGCCUUUAUUUGACGGUAAUCAACCAGAAAGUCACGGCUAACUACGUGCCAGCAGCCGCGGUAAUACGUAGGUGGCAAGCGUUGUCCGGAUUUAUUGGGCGUAAAGCGAGCGCAGGCGGAAUGAAUAAGUCUGAUGUGAAAGCCCUCGGCUUAACCGAGGAAUUGCAUCGGAAACUGUUUUCUUGAGUGCAGAAGAGGAGAGUAGAACUCCAUGUGUAGCGGUGGAAUGCGUAGAUAUAUGGAAGAAUACCAGUGGCGAAGGCGGCUCUCUGGUCUGCAACUGACGCUGAGGCUCGAAAGCAUGGGUAGCGAACAGGAUUAGAUACCCUGGUAGUCCAUGCCGUAAACGAUGAGUGCUAAGUGUUGGGAGGCUUCCGCCUCUCAGUGCUGCAGCUAACGCAUUAAGCACUCCGCCUGGGGGAGUACGACCGCAAGGUUGAAAC